rnacentral:rRNA from 1 species
GACGAACGCUGGCGGCGUGCUUAACUCAUGCAAGUCGAGCGAGGAGCUUGCUCCUUGCGGCGAACGGGUGAGUAACACGUGGGCAAUCUGCCCUUGGCUCUGGGAUAACUCCGGGAAACCGGGGCUAAUACCGGAUACGACCACUGAAGACAUCUUCUGGUGGUGGAAAGAAUUUCGGCCAAGGAUGAGCCCGCGGCCUAUCAGCUUGUUGGUGGGGUAAUGGCCUACCAAGGCGACGACGGGUAGCCGGCCUGAGAGGGCGACCGGCCACACUGGGACUGAUACACGGCCCAGACUCCUACGGGAGGCAGCAGUGGGGAAUAUUGCGCAAUGGGCGAAAGCCUGACUCAGCGACCCCACGUGAGGGAUGAAGGCCUUCUGGUUGUAAACCUCUUUCAGCAGGGACAAAGCGAACGUGACGGUACCUGCUAAACAAGCACCGGCCAACUACGUGCCAGCAGCCGCGGUAAUACUUAAGGUGCAAGCGUUGUCCGGAAUUAUUGGGCGUAAAGAGCUCGUAGGCGGUUUGUCGCGUCGGCUGUGAAAACCUGACGCUCAACCUCGGGCCUGCAUUCGAUACGGGCAAACUAGAGUUCGGUAGGGGAGACUGGAAUUCCUGGUGUAGCGGUGGAAUGCGCAGAUAUCAGGAGGAACACCGGUGGCGAAGGCGGGUCUCUGGGCCGAACCUGACGUUGAGGAGCGAAAGCGUGGGGAGCGAACAGGAUUAGAUACCCUGGUAGUCCACGCCGUAAAUGUUGGGCGCUAGGUGUGGGUUCCCUUCCACGGGGUCCGUGCCGAAGCUAACGCAUUAAGCGCCCCGCCUGGGGAGUACGGCCGCAAGGCUAAAACUCAAAGGAAUUGACGGGGGCCCGCACCAGCGGCGGAGCAUGUGGCUUAAUUGGAUGCAACGCGAAGAACCUUACCAAGGCUUGACAUGCAGGGAAAUCUCAUAGAGAUAUGGGGUCCGUAAGGGCCUUGCACAGGUGGUGCAUGGUCGUCGUCAGCUCGUGUCGUGAGAUGUUGGGUUAAGUCCCGCAACGAGCGCAACCCUCGUCCUAUGUUGCCAGCGCGUAAUGGUGGGGACUCAUAGGAGACUCCCGGGGUCAACUCGGAGGAAGGUGGGGAUGACGUCAAAUCAUCAUGCCCCUUAUGUUUUGGGCUGCACACAUGCUACAAUGGUCGGUACAAAGGGUUGCUAAGCCGCAAGGUGGAGCGAAUCCCAAAAAGCCGGCCUCAGUUUGGAUUGGGGUCUGCAACUCGACCCCACGAAGUAGGAGUCGCUAGUAAUCGCAGAUCAGCAACGCUGCGGUGAAUACGUUCCCGGGCCUGUACAC